CCUUAAGGGAGCCCUUGUCCCAGAGGUUCAUCCACCCUUGAAGCUGCAAAGGGAACUGUGGUCGAGGAGGAACUUAGCAGCAAUGCUGUUAACCUCUCCCAGACUUCAGCAAUGUUUACAGAAGAUGUUUCACAUCCAGAUCUGAAAGCAUUUAAUUAACCUUUUGGAUGCACACAGGUAGAAUGCCCAGGCUGGAGACCCAGCUGACAGAUGGCUCAAAGAUAACAGGGUCAAAGCUAGGAAACUCCCUCCUCUCACCAAGUUCAGUUCUCUGCCUUCACAGAAGGAGAGGGGGAAACACCGUCAACGUUUAGUGAACAAGGGAAAUAUCAG
rnacentral:lncRNA from 1 species